UGCAAGACAAACAUUUGUGUCAUAAAAUAUUAGUUAAAUCUAUGCAGAAUUUUAUGUGCAAGCUAUAAAUAUUAUAAAUAGUUAGAAAUAAUUUAUGUGAUGAAGCAAGAAAAAUAAAUGUGGAGAUUCUACACCAGAACAACAGCGUUAAUUUAUUAGCUUAAUAACAAUUACACAACUACUACAAAGUUAAACAAUGUGUAUAUUGAAUUUGUUUUAGUUUUAACUGAUUAACUAGUAAAUUUUAUGCAAAUCUACUGUAAAUCAGUUGCGCAUUGGUCGGUUUAAGCCACUAGAUGGCGCCAGUGUCCAUCUCAAACUCACUGAGGCGUCUACAAGUACUCCCUCACGGGUUUUGCAUGGUUGUCUUACAUUGUUAUAAACAAUAAUAAGAUUAAAUCAUAAUAUUAUGCUUCCAUGAAUAUGUAUUUAUUGAGAGUUUGAGGUCUACUGAGAUUCACGGUACCUUAGAAUCAGUUUUCUUUAAAGGGCUUGAGUUUAUUUUUCAUGUUUAUUUUACAUUAUAAGUUAUGACAGCUAUAUUAGACAACACGUGGUUCUUAGUAAGUGAAACCGCGGGCUGAUUUUCAGUCAGGCGCGCGCGGGUCAGGCUCGUGGGGUCUUAUGUAAGAAGCGCGCUCCAGCGGCAGAGUGUCAUUCGGCAGCGGUCUCGAAGUGACAGGAGUGGUUUUAGUCUCAUUUAACAUGAUAUUUAAUUUCACAGCAUGAGUUAAUUUUGAGAAAGUUUGAUUUUAAUCGUAAUCAUCGACUGAGGAAGUGGAAGAGCGCGGAAUAUCGACCCGUGAUCAGUUAUUGAUCAUCAUGCCGCCCAUCGAGAAUGACGCAGGACGCGAGCAGAUCCGAUCGAAGAUCGAAGAGCUGAUCGAUUCUCAUCAAGUGCUGGUGUUUGGCAAGAGCUACUGUCCCUACCAGAGGUACAGGACUACUGCAGCACAGAGUGGAAGGGCGUUCGAAUAGCCUCUCACACUCUGCAGGGUGAGCAACGAAACUGUCAUUUAGGUCGACAUCCUUGGGAGGUACUGCAUCCCUCAACCUUCGAGUCUGGGACGUAGUGACGACACUAGUGGGAAAAACCUUGGGGAAAACCUUGCACUCAUCGGGGCACCCUUGACUGAGCGGCACUGACACAACCUCUGGUGGGACAUCACCCCAACUCCACAUGUUUCCACCGGCUAGGUCAUUGCCAAGGAGGAAUGUGACACCGG
ensembl:lncRNA